AGUGUUCUACGGCAGUUACACACAGGCAGUGGUAUCUGUGAGCAGCUCUGUGGACUCAAAGGUUUUCUCCCUGAGAGGCAUGACCCAGGCCAGCUGAUUCAUCAGAGUCAGGAUGGACGUGGUAGAGGUCGCGGGUAGUUGGUGGGCACAAGAGCGAGAGGACAUCAUUAUGAAAUACGAAAAGGGACACCGAGCUGGGCUGCCAGAGGACAAGGGGCCUAAGUCUUUUGGAAGCUACAACAACAACGUCGAUCAUUUGGGGAUUGUACAUGAGACGGAGCUGCCUCCUCUGACUGCGCGGGAGGUGAAGCAAAUUCGGCGGGAGAUCAGCCGAAAGAGCAAGUGGGUGAAAAUGCUGGGAGAAUGGGACACCUACAAAAACAGCAGAAAGCUCAUAGAUCGAGCGUACCAGGGAAUUCCCAUGAACAUCCGGGGCCCGAUGUGGUCAGUCCUCCUGAACAUUGAGGAAAUCAAGUUGAAAAACCCCGGAAGAUACCAGAUCAUGAAGGAGAAGGGCAAGAGGUCAUCUGAACACAUCCAGCAGAUGGACCUGGACGUAAGCGGGACAUUAAGGAGGCAUAUAUUCUUCAGGGAUCGAUACGGAACCAAGCAGCGGGAACUACUUUACAUCCUCCUGGCGUAUGAGGAGUAUAACCCGGAGGUGGGCUACUGCAGGGACCUGAGCCACAUCGCCGCCUUGUUCCUCCUUUAUCUUCCUGAGGAGGAUGCAUUCUGGGCACUGGUGCAGCUGCUGGCCAGUGAGAGGCACUCCCUGCAGGGAUUUCACAGCCCAAAUGGCGGGACCGUCCAGGGGCUCCAAGACCAACAGGAGCAUGUGGUAGCCACGUCACUACCCAACACCAUGUGGCAUCAGAGCGCCUCACGAAGACGUCCAGGUGUGGCCCGUGGGCACGUUUUUGGAACCGGUUCGUUGAUGCCUGGGCCAGGGAUGAUGACACUGUGCUCAAGCAUCUUAGGGCCUCUAUGAAGAAACUAACAAGAAAGCAGGGGGACCUGCCACCCCCAGCCAAACCCGAGCAAGGGUCGUCGGCAUCCAGGCCUGUGCCAGCUUCACGUGGCGGGAAGACCCUCUGCAAGGGGGACAGGCAGGCCCCUCCAGGCCCACCAGCCCGGUUCCCAUGGCCCAUUUGGUCAGCUUCCCCGCCACGGGCACCUCGUUCUUCCACACCCUGUCCUGGUGGGGCUGUCCGGGAAGACACCUACCCUGUGGGCACUCAGGGUGUGCCCAGCCCGGCCCUGGCUCAGGGAGGACCUCAGGGUUCCUGGAGAUUCCUGCAGUGGAACUCCAUGCCCCGCCUCCCAACGGACCUGGACGUAGGGGACCCUUGGUUCCGCCGUUAUGAUUUCAGACAGAGCUGCUGGGUCCGUGCCAUAUCCCAGGAGGACCAGCCGGCCACCUGCUGGCAGGCUGAACACCCUGCGGAGCGGGUGAGAUCGGCUUUCACUGCACUGAGCCACAACGUGGGCAUGGACUUCCCGGCCCUGCAGUGCGCCCAGCACUGAUUCCGACCAGGGCACCCCCUUCAGAGCUAGGGACGAACAGCAGUGUGCUCCCACCUCAGGACCUUGCCUCUGCGGCCUCCACUUGGAAAGUUCUCAGUUCCCUCCAGGCUUCUAGAAGCAUCUGGGCCAGGGCUCAUGGCUGGAUAAUUUCCCUAGGCUUAACAACCCAAGCAAGCUUCGCCUCCUCGUUUUAUUUUUUGUUAAACUUAUGAGAAUGUGUUAAGAAAGAGUGCAGCUCGAGAGACAUUCAGAGAUGGAACACACCAGACCCCAGAUCACAAAGCCAACCAUGCCCAGCCCCUCCCAACACCCCCAGCCCCACGACCAUCGUUCUGAAUUCUGACGACGCCGUGAGCCUGCCUUUGUACUUUAAACUCAUGGAAGGAUAACCACCUUCACGUUUUGAAAUAAAUGUUUCCUGUUG
rnacentral:lncRNA from 1 species